rnacentral:misc_RNA from 1 species
GUAACGAUGGUUCUUUUGUAUGAGUUAUGUGGGCAAAAAACAUGCAAAAUAUAUUGGGUUCUGGACUGUUUGCAGAUUUGCCUGAGUAUCUAAACUGAUUUUUUUUUAACAUUUUCAAUAUUUGGGCGAGUGUAUGAUACCAGAAUCUAUUACUUAAUUGGAUUUAUAUUUGUAAUCAGACAUGAGAUUAUCCUGGGAUUUG